rnacentral:tRNA from 1 species
AGUCCUUGGGAGGAACGUUUUCCCCCUUUUCUGGUUUACAACACCAGGGUAAAUGUGCG